UCUCGCCCACCCGUUCCGGAUCCAGCUCCCGUCCUCCCACUCCCCCCUGAUUUCCACCGCCCGCCGAAGCCGUCUCCGGCAAGGACCCGGCCGGCGACGCCGCCACUUCCCCGGCGGCCCACCCGCGGCCAGGCGCGCCCUUUCUUCCCUCCCCGCGCUCUGGCCGCGGCCGGUCUGCUCCUCCCCUCUUCGUCCGGGGACCCGGGUCAUGCCUCUCGCCUCAUCUCCUCGGGUCUGACUUGGAUUCACUCGUCCUCGAUUCGUCGUCCGUUUAGGUUUAGGGAUAGAAUCGCGCAUGAUUUGAUUUUGCUCGUGCUCGGUUCGUCAACUCAGAAUCGCGCCUGGUUUGAUUUUGCUCGUCCUCACCGUCGUCCGCUUAGAGUCACGCCCGAUUCGAUUUUGUUCGUCCUCGCCGUCGUCCGUUUGGGGUCGCGCCCGGUUCGGUUUUGCUCGUCCUCGCCGUCGCUCGUUUGGGGUCGCGUCCGGUUUGGUUUUGCUCGUCCUCGCCGUCGCUCGUUUGGGGUCGCGUCCGGCUCGAUUUUGCUCGUCUUCGCCGUCGUCCGUUUAGAGUCGCGCCUGAUUCGAUUUCGCACGCCCUCGCCGUUGUCCCGAUGCGCGCGCGUGUUCUUGGCCCGUCUCGCCUCGUCGGGGGUCUCCGUCUCGUUUGCGAACUAGCAAUUCUGUCUUUCUGCGUGCGCUUUUGUUAUCCGAACUAGCAAUCCUGGGUUUGGUGUUCGCGUCGGUUGCAGGAACGAACGGGUCUGGUUUCGGAAUUGGAUUACGGCCGGAGACGGGGAGCGAUGUUCGUUUAUCGUGCUAGUUCCGUCACCUGCGUUAUUCUUAGUGAUUUUCAGAACUCAAACGCAUGCUGUCUUGUGAUACUCUGUCAAUUCUUGGCCCUCUGUCAGUUCUUGUUGGCCCUCUGUCAAUUCUUGAGUUCCAGGGUCCGUUAAUUCUUGACUUCUUGUGUUGUACCGACUAGGCGUAUGUGUGCUCUGUCAGUUCUUGAGACGCUUGUUCUGAUGGUGUAUACUGUUUAUGUUCUUUCCUAUUUGUUUCUUUUUAUCAUGCUUUGCUUGUGUGUUACGAGCAUAAAAGUUUUACAAGAGUGCAAACCAUGUGGCCUGCUGCUUGACUAAUCGAACACCUACUGCUGCUACUGUUGAACACCUGCUGCUUGACUAGUUUUACAAGAGUGCAAACCAUAUUCUUUUCUUCCUGAUGUUGCUAUUUCCAUUGAAGUACUCAUAGGAGUUCAGAUGAGCUGCUGCUAGUUAGUUCCCCUUAGACUACAUUCUAGAUUGCAUAGCAUGCGUAACUCCAGAAUUUAUUUAUCCGUGAAAGCACGCUCAUCACAUGUUUUUUUUAUCAAUGCUGCUAACUUCUGUCACGCCCCUUUCCUUUCGACAACAAUUUCAACGAACCUAUAACGUGGACAUGUGCUACUUGUUUUCUUGUGAUGAUCCUGAUCCAGUUGACUAGCCCAACUCUUAUGUUCUGUCUGACAUUUGUUAAUCCCCAGUUAGUGUGCCUGAGAAAUUAUUGUUUGUCAAGUUAAAUUUUAUGGCAUCAACUCGGUAUUGUGAUUAAUAACCUAGUAUUUGUUUAGUGUAGAAGUGGGCUUCUUUUUUCUUAAAUUUUUUGUGAUAUACGUGUUUUCUUAUGUCUUAUGUGGAUAUCAUAUUCAUUUUUUUUUGUAUUACUAAUGUCCAGUCAAUGGAAAAUGCUUUUCUUGCUUUGCCUAGACUUUGUGACAAUUAACUUAUAGUGCGAUCAUUGACCAUUGAGGUUCUGACACCCUUUUCUGGAUCAUUGAGUACUUAAUGUCGAUUCUGAGUUUGUUGGAUCAUUCCACUUCUGCGUGUACUUAGGUUAUCUGAGAGACACUCACGAUCCUGUGUUUCGUGUUCAUGGCGGAGCGAUGACCGAUUACGUUUCGUGUUCGCCGUUUGGUUUUGAAUUUGGAUUACGAAGACAGGGAGAGGCCAAAGCAAGGUCAGUUUAUCGUGUUCGUUCAGAUCGGUUCCUUGGUUUUGUCCCUGCGUUGUUCGUCAGCGAUUUCCGGACCUCAAACACAUGCACCCUUAUGAUACUCUGGUUUGGCUCGCUGGUCAUUAUGGAUGUUUGUUACGGUUGUUCUUAUGUUCUUGAAUCACACAUCUUAUAAGCAGAGAUGGGGUGAUUCAUUAUGCUUGUUCUGAUGGUUGCUUGUUUAGUGUUCUUUCCAAUUGGGUUCUUCUUGUCAUGCUUUGCUUAUGUUCCCAAUGUCUGUCUUUCCAUAUAUGGGGAUGCGUUCAGGGGUGCAAACCAUGUAGGCCGUGGUGUGUUUUAUACUAGCUAUGGUGUGUUUUGUAAUAUCUGAUGUGGAAGGUAGAAAUAUUGAUAUCACUUCUAUGUUAGUAUACUUGAUAUGGUGUGUUUUAUUCAAGUUAUUAACGACAUCUCUUACAAAUUUUCCUUGAGAUACAUGUUUAUAUGGCAGGAGUGAUUGUCUUGACGGACAAUCAUCUAUGCUAACUUGGUAUUGAUAGUUCCCGAGCAUAGGUAACAGACCAGUACUUGUUUAGUGCAGACAACUGCCUAUUCUAUUUUCUAAACUUUUUUCUGAUAUGUGUGUUAUGUGGAUUCAUAUUCUAAUGCUUUUCUAAGUAUUUAAGGUACAAACAUGUGGAUCUGGACAUGUCACAUUUGCUCUUUAUUGUGUUGCUAAGGACACUGAACGGCUUGGCUGGGCCACUGCAUGGCUUGGCUAAUCAGGUUGUGAUGAUUAGAGAGAAGCUUGCAGAACUGUAUGAAUUUGAACAAUAAUGGUCGAGAGCAGCACAAAUGCUUAGUGGCAUUGACUUACACUCAGGAACUAGUGUGUCCUGAUUGCACGACUCUAUUUGGAGGAUGAUGAUGCAGUGAAUGCUGAAGCUUUUAUCAACAAAGCCUCGAUUUUGGUCACAAACACAACAACCAGAAAGUUCUGAACUUACAAUACAAGGUCUACUAUGUGAGAAUUUUAGAUCUAAAGGGUGAAUUCUUGGAAGCUACACUUCGAUACUAUGGUAUCUCUCAAAUGAGCAACGCCAAAUUGGGGAUGAUAUUUAAGGUACAGACAUUGGAUCUGGACAUGUCACAUUGGCUCUUUAUUGUGUUGCUAAGGACACUGAUGGGUUAGAUUUGCAUACAAUGCAGUAUCGACGAACAAAAUGGUCUCAUUGCAAGGUCACUACCUGGACGCAUAGGCAAGCAAUGUCAAGAGAGGUGGCAUAAUCAUCCGAAUCCAGACAUACAGAGAGAUGCUUGGACUACUGAGGAGGAACAUGCAUUGAUUAAUGCGCAUCGGGUAUAUGGGAAUAAAUGGGCAAAAAUAGCAAAUGUUCUUCCUAGAAGGAGUGGGGUAUUUCCAGUUGUGUAACUUCUAUUUGUUAUUCGUUCUUCUCACCUAUAGCUAAAGUCAAAGACGACAAACCAGGUGAAUUAUUGGAGUUGCAAAUACACAGAAUCAGUCAUCUUAAUCUUCUUUUGUAAAUAUGACUGCUGGUGCUGCUGAUAACGCUAUCCAUCGGCUUUUAACUCAUGAGAGGCAACCAUAGUUGCCAACUUGAAACAUAUAUCUUUUAGGAAGGAAGAUCUGAAUCAGCCUCACCCCUCGAGAGAAAUCAGUUUAGUCAUUCAGGUUCUGUAAUUUCUUUAUAGCUUUCUACUUUACUUUGGUCUUGCAUGUAUUUGCUUUCUGUUUGUGCCCUAUUUAUGUAUGUUUGUUUUUGUUUCUUGUGUGCAAGCGCUCCAUUCUGUGUGUCUGACUGUGUGUGGCCUGACUCUUGUGUGUGUGGCUUGACUGUCUGUGUUUGACUGUGUGUGACUGUGUGAAUAUUGUGCAUUUGACUGUGAUGUGUGACUAUGUGUGUGUGUGUGUGUGUGACUGUGAAUGUUGCAUUUUGACUAUGACUGUGUGUGUGAUCUUGUGUGGCUUGUAUGCUUUGCUGAAUGAUUGGUUGUUGUGGCUUAACACUGCCUUUGCCGGUCCCAAGCCCGGAUGUGAAAAUAUGGAGGGAGUCUGUUUCUGUCCGUUUCUUGUGUCCAAGUGCUACAUUGUGUGUGUGUGUGCGACUGUAUGUGUGAUGUGCAUGUAUCUAUGUCAGUUUCUUGGUCUUUCUUGUGUGCAAGCGCUUGAUUGUGUGUGCUUGUGUGACUGUGUGUGUAUUGCAUUUGCUUGAUGGUGUGGCCUUGCUUUGCUGAAUGAUUGGUGUUGUAUAACUUGUAUUUUGUAUUGUUGUGGUUUAACACUGUCUUUGCCGGUCCCAAACCCGGAUGCGAAAAUGUGGAGGGAGCCAUAGUUACCUCCUUUGUAUUGUUUAGUGUGGAUAGACAUUACUCUGUCCUAAUUGAAUAGUGAAUCUUCACAUAAUGUCGUAGCAUGUGAUUCAAGCUCUGAAAUGCAUCCUUCCUUGCUAUGAAAAAUCUAGCAAGUGUAAUUGCUGUUAGAAUUUGUCCGGUCUCCUAAAUUAAUCUCCCUGGUUUCUUAUAUCUUUUCAGCACCGUUGUUCUUUUUUGCUAAUCACUUAUACGAAAAAUCAGUCAUCUGUUUGAUCAUGCACAAAUCUCAACGUCGCAUGUGUCCCUCAUUUGUCUGUCACUCGCGAGUGCGUGUCGGAUUUAUUUGUCGUUGGGCUUUUUAUUCAGGUUGUGGGUCGCCCACUCCUUGUUUGGAAUCUGACCCGUUUGGGGGUGUCCUUUUCAGUUGCGUGUCAUUUCU